AGCUUUUCAACUUGAGAGUUUGAUCCUGGCUCAGAACGAACGCUGGCGGCAGGCCUAACACAUGCAAGUCGAGCGCACCUUCGGGUGAGCGGCGGACGGGUUAGUAACGCGUGGGAACGUACCCUUUUCUACGGAAUAGCC
rnacentral:rRNA from 1 species